ensembl:lncRNA
AAGAUUUAGAUUAGAUGCCGGGGGAAGUUUUUCACUGAGAGGAUGGGGAGGUGCUGGCACAGGCUGCCCAGAGAGCUGUGGAUGCCUCAUCCCUGGAGAUGUUCAAAGUCAGAUAUAUGUGGUUGAAAGGCAUCAUAAUUCUGGAAGAGGCCUCAAGCUGAUACAACUGAAAGCUGGCACAGAAGAAUCUAUAUCCCUGUCUUCUCCUAAAAUAUGCUCAACAGGAGUUGAACCACUUCGGGCAUGAAACCAGCAGAGGUGACUUCAGGCUUAAGAUUGUGGCACUGCAGUUUAUUGGGAAGGUUCUCUGCCUAUUUUUCCCCUGGAUUC